CUCGUCGCAUCCUGGGGCUGGAGUCGGUCCCAAGGGUUGGGCUGUUCGCCCAUUAAAGCGGUACGCGAGCUGGGUUUAGAACGUCGUGAGACAGUUCGGUCCCUAUCCGCUGUGCGCGUAGGAAUAUUGAGAAGGGCUGUCCCUAGUACGAGAGGACCGGGACGGACGAACCUCUGGUGUGCCAGUUGUUCUGCCAAGGGCAUGGCUGGUUGGCUACGUUCGGGAGGGAUAACCGCUGAAAGCAUCUAAGCGGGAAGCCUGCUUCGAGAUGAGUGUUCCCACCUCCUUUGAGAGGGUAAGGCUCCCAGUAGACGACUGGGUUGAUAGGCCGGAUAUGGAAGCCCUGUGAGGGGUGGAGUUGACCGGUACUAAUAGGCCGAGGGCUUGUCCUCAGUUG
rnacentral:rRNA from 1 species